rnacentral:rRNA from 1 species
UACGAAGGGGGCUAGCGUUGCUCGGAAUCACUGGGCGUAAGGGGUGCGUAGGCGGGUUUUUAAGUCAGGGGUGAAAUCCUGGAGCUCAACUCCAGAACUGCCUUUGAUACUGAAGAUCUUGAGUUCGGGAGAGGUGAGUGGAACUGCGAGUGUAGAGGUGAAAUUCGUAGAUAUUCGCAAGAACACCAGUGGCGAAGGCGGCUCACUGGCCCGAUACUGACGCUGAGGCACGAAAGCGUGGGGAGCAAACAGG